rnacentral:rRNA from 1 species
CCUACGGGUGGCAGCAGUAGGGAAUCUUUCACAAUGGGCGAAAGCCUGAUGGAGCAACGCCGCGUGCAGGAUGAAGGCCUUCGGGUUGUAAACUGCUUUUAUAAGCGAGAAAUAUGAUGGUAACUUAUGAAUAAGGAGCGGCUAACUACGUGCCAGCAGCCGCGGUGAUACGUAGGAUCCGAGCAUUAUCCGGAGUAACUGGGUGUAAAUAGUUGCGUAGGUGGCAUAAUAAUUAGCUAGUGAAAACUGGUGGCUCAACCAUUCAGACUAUUAGCUAAAAUGUUAAGCUCGAGAUCGUUAGGGGUAACUGGAAGUUCUAGUGUAGGAGUGAAAUCCGUAGAUAUUAGAAGGAACACCAGUAGCGUAGGCAGGUUGCUGGGACGUUUCUGACACUAAGGCACGAAAGCGUAGGGAGCAAACGGGAUUAGAUACCCUAGUAGUC